rnacentral:pre_miRNA from 1 species
UUUCAUCUUAAGUCUUGCAUGUGGGAAUGAGGUAUGCAGUGCAGCCAAGGAUGACUUGCCGGCAGCAAUAUAUAUUCAGUUACAAUAUUAUAUAUCAACCCKUAUCUUCUAUAUAUAUGUAUAUGUACAUWGCAUAUAUAUGGGAUGUAUCAUGUAUAUAUGUUGAUGUCAUCUCAUGCAUAUAWGRUACAGAAAGAUACACGAUCUUGUGACAAUGAGAUGGUCGGCAAGUCGUCUCUGGCUACAUUUUUGCCUCCUUUUCUCAUGCUAGAUUGUUAUGAUGA